AUUGAACGCUAGCGGGAUGCCUUACACAUGCAAGUCGAACGGAGUGGCGAACGGGUGAGUAAUGUAUCGGAACGUGCCCAGUAGCGGGGGAUAACUACGCGAAAGCGUAGCUAAUACCGCAUACUAUUGGACCGGCCGAUAUCGGAUUCGCUAGUUGGUGGGGUAACGGCUAACCAAGGCGACGAUCCGUAGCUGGUUUGAGAGGACGAACAGCCACACUGGGACUGAGACAGGGCCCAGACUCCUAAGGGAGGCAGAGGUGGGGAAUUGUGGAAAAUGGGGGAAACCCUGAUCCAGCCAUCCAGCGUGUGCGAUGAAGGCCUUCGGGUUGUAAAGCACGUUCAGAGAGGAGGCGUUACUCGAAGAGGAAGCACCGGCUAACUACGUGCCAGCAGCCGCGGUAAUAC
rnacentral:rRNA from 1 species